GUUCUCAAGAGAUCUGACAGUUUUAUAAGGGUCUUUUCCCCUUUUGCUCAGCACUUCUCCUUCCUGCCUGCCACCAUGUGAAGAAGGAUGUGUUUGCUUCCCCUUCCACCAUGACUGUAAGUUUCCUGAGGCCUCCCCAGCCAUGCUGAACGAUACAGAAACUGAGGCUGGGGCAGGUCCUGGAGGCUUGGUGUGAACCACAACUAUACAGCUUUAGACUCUAAGUUUUUAUCCACAGGGCUAAAUGUCAGGUUUACUUGGAAAAAAAAUAAAAGUGGAAGAUGAAAUUAGAAAGAUGGGCCCGUGUAAGAUUGUGAAGAGGCUUGAAUGCUCAGCUCAGGAGUACCGGUUAACAAGUUACAUGGUAUUGUACCUAUGUCACUGGUCCCUGAUCAACACAGCACCAGAGCGCCCUGGGAACAGGGAAACGGUACUCACGGUCAUGGACCUUGUAGCAGUGCGUCUGCAAGCGCUUCACGUCCCAUUCCUCUAGCACGCCAUGGGUCAUCAGCAACUGGAGGAAGCGCCGGUGGACAUCAGUCAUGACGCCCAUUCUCCUUGUGCUGCCCUGCAUGUGGGAACGAACUGAAAAGGAAGUAAAUGACACUAGUCAACCCCAAGCACAUCAGAAGCAACGUCCUGGGUCUUGUACUAAUUUACAUUAACAAAUAUAAAUUUGCUAUCAUUUUUAAAAGUCAUUCUUCAUGCUGUUUACUACAAAGGUGAGAAGAAGAACACGAGUCACAGCAUCAGGACUGGGCAGUGGUAAGAGGUGUGGAUUCUGGAGCUAGAAUGCCGGGAUUCAGGGCCUGGCUCUCCCACUUACUAGGCGUGUGAGAUUGAGCAACUUAGUCCCCACAGGCUUUGGUUUCUGAUCUGUAAAGUGGGACUAAUGAUAGAAACGUCCUCUGCAGAACUGCUACGAAGAUUAGAUGGGUUAAUACAUGUAAUAGCCUGGUAACACAGUAAGCACUAAAUAAGUCUGAGCUAUUUUUACUAUCAGGCAAUUCUGGGUCUAACCCUUGGCUGAGCCUUUUUACCAGAUCUAUGGCCUUGGAGAAAUUGAGCAGAGGCCCCGUUUUCUCACCAUAAAAUUAUAAUGAAGUUCAUUACUGAGAGAACUACUAGUAAACACUUAAUAAAUGUUAGUUUCCUCCUCUCCCCAAACCACUAAUAAAACAACUAUCAUGGCAGGACUUCAGACUAUUUUCGAAAUCUCCUGCUCACUAACAAAAUGGGAUCUUUCCGUAAACCACAAAGAUCACAGUUAAUAAAACUAUUCCACAAGCCCUGAUCAAAACGCUGGCUACUGCCAUGGAGCACGCAGUGCAGGGGCUAAGAAUGUGAAUUUGGAACUAAACAGGAAGCACUGAGACCAGAAAGUCCCAGAUCUGCCUGAUCCUAAGGAUUUCCUAAUGUGCAUUUUAAC
rnacentral:lncRNA from 1 species